rnacentral:rRNA from 1 species
CAUGCCGCGUGUAUGAAGAAGGCCUUCGGGUUGUAAAGUACUUUCAGUCGUGAGGAAGGCGGCGUCGUUAAUAGCGGCGUUGUUUGACGUUAGCGACAGAAGAAGCACCGGCUAACUCCGUGCCAGCAGCCGCGGUAAUACGGAGGGUGCGAGCGUUAAUCGGAAUUACUGGGCGUAAAGCGCAUGCAGGUGGUUUGUUAAGUCAGAUGUGAAAGCCCGGGGCUCAACCUCGGAAUAGCAUUUGAAACUGGCAGACUAGAGUACUGUAGAGGGGGGUAGAAUUUCAGGUGUAGCGGUGAAAUGCGUAGAGAUCUGAAGGAAUACCGGUGGCGAAGGCGGCCCCCUGGACAGAUACUGACACUCAGAUGCGAAAGCGUGGGGAGCAAACAGGAUUAGAUACCCCC